AUGGCCUCAUUAAAAUUGACCAAUGAGACCCCUGUAAUGAUGCAUCUGCUUCUGUAUGCCUGCUUCUGCCUACCCCAACCCCAUAUAAUCUGCCCCAAACCCAGCCCGGGGCGCUCAGUCCUCCACGUGAUUGCCGCACCUACAGGCCCUGUGUGAACAACAAAAAUUGCCUCUUACUUUUGCAUCCAGUGGCUCAGACUUGGUUCUUGGGCGAGGGUCUCCAAGUGUUAUAGACACCCUCUGGGAGGUCUUUCAUUUGGGGUCUCGUCCGGGAUCCAGAGAACCCCUGCCCAACCCACCUGACAACCCACCGGCUCAGAGAAGUUGGCAGAAGAGGAUGCGGAAAGAUUGUCCAAGUCAGACGUAGAAGAGGACUCUGCUUAAAGGAGUUUUUCUGGCCAUGGUAGAACCACAGGACUCACGAACAUAGAGCAGCAGUGAUUCUUGCUACAGGAUCAAGGAGAUGGAGUUUCAUUAUAAAGUUGUGGCUGGUCUGGAACUCAGUAUGUCGACAAGGCUGGCCUCAACAUUUGAGCAAUUCUUGUCCCUCUACCUGGAAGUGCUAAUAUUGAAGGUAUAUACUAACACAUCAAUUAAGAGGCAACCCAAUUUAUCUGAAAUUCCUGGUCUUAUCCCUCAGCCUCUUUGACUUCAGCAUUUGCUCUCUGAGAUGGGCCCUCACACCAGCCAUAGACCUGCAUUGAAUAACUUUGCUUUGGGUUUACUGUUAUUAACCAACUGUAGAAAACGUUAAAUUUUUGUAUUUGUUUCUUCUCUUAAUCAUUCUUCUUAUAAUAAA